rnacentral:lncRNA from 1 species
UACAUAUUGCUCAACAAGAUGAUAUGAGCAAUUCUAUUCUUCCUAUUCUAGGCCAAAUAGGACGCAUGGAGACACAAAGCAUGCCACAUGAAUGCGCAAUGCCUGCUACAUUGGGGCGUGUUGUCAUACAUGAGUUCACGAUCACACGACCUUGCAUGCUAACGCACAAUCCAACUUCUUUUAAUAAUUAUCACGGUCAAUAAUUUUUUUAGUCACCACCAUCAAC